GUCAGCUCCAGAUCGACGUCUAAGGCGCUUCAAAGAUCUGGAUUUAAGUGGAGGCUGCACUCCUUUCAACUCCAAAGUAAGAACUUCAGCUUCUGACUUGUUCAGAUCUAAGUAUCUUAUCACACUGUUAUUUGUAUCUGCUAUGUACAAUCUUCCAUUUUCUGCUUCAACAAUUCCAGAUGGUUCUGAGAACUGAGCUGCCACCGCUGCUCCAUCUUUGAAACCAGCCUGACCAACACCAGCUAAUGUAGUCACCCUUUUACUAUCUGGAUCUAGUUUCUUAAUCUUGUGAUUAUAAGAAUCUGCAAUAUAAACUUGACCAUCCU
rnacentral:misc_RNA from 1 species